UACGAAGGGGGCUAGCGUUGCUCGGAAUUAUUGGGCGUAAAGCGCGCGCAGGCGGUUUCUUAAGUCUGAUGUGAAAGCCCACGGCUCAACCGUGGAGGGUCAUUGGAAACUGGGGAACUUGAGUGCAGAAGAGAAAAGCGGAAUUCCUGGUGUAGCGGUGAAAUGCGCAGAUAUCAGGAAGAACACCCGUGGCGAAGGCGGCUCUCUGGGACGGUACUGACGCUGAGACGCGAAAGCGUGGGGAGCGAACAGG
rnacentral:rRNA from 1 species